GGCUCAGAACGAACGCUGGCGGCGUGCUUAACACAUGCAAGUCGAACGAACCUUCGGGUUAGUGGCGGACGGGUGAGUAACGCGUGAGAAUCUGCCCUCAGGAGGGGGAUAACGGUUGGAAACGACCGCUAAUACCCCAUAUGCCGAGAGGUGAAAAGAAAUUCGCCUGAGGAUGAGCUCGCGUCUGAUUAGCUAGUUGUUGUGGUAAUGGCGCGCAAAAGCUUCGAUCAGUAGCUGGUCUGAGAGGAUGAUCAGCCAC
rnacentral:rRNA from 1 species